AUUGAACGCUGGCGGCAUGCCUUACACAUGCAAGUCGAACGGCAGCACGGGAGCAAUCCUGGUGGCGAGUGGCGAACGGGUGAGUAAUAUAUCGGAACGUGCCCAGUAGUGGGGGAUAACUGCUCGAAAGAGCAGCUAAUACCGCAUACGACCUGAGGGUGAAAGGGGGGGAUCGCAAGACCUCUCGCUAUUGGAGCGGCCGAUAUCAGAUUAGCUAGUUGGUGGGGUAAAGGCCUACCAAGGCAACGAUCUGUAGUUGGUCUGAGAGGACGACCAGCCACACUGGGACUGAGACACGGCCCAGACUCCUACGGGAGGCAGCAGUGGGGAAUUUUGGACAAUGGGGGCAACCCUGAUCCAGCCAUGCCGCGUGCGGGAAGAAGGCCUUCGGGUUGUAAACCGCUUUCGGCCGGAACGAAAUCGCCCGGGUGAACAUCCCGGGUGGAUGACGGUACCGGAAGAAGAAGCACCGGCUAACUACGUGCCAGCCGCCGCAGUAACAC
rnacentral:rRNA from 1 species